UUUUGUUCCUGGACUCUUCAGUGAUGAUGAGCAGAGUCUGAGUGAACCUGCUGUCAGACAGGUUGGCCUGAUUGACGAUGUCAUCGUCCAUUGCCGAUGGCUGAUAGACAUCACGAUGCUGCGCCGGCAAACGGAAGUCGCGUUCUAUAGACAGUUUCUAUAGACAGUUGUGAACGUGCUGACAGCUGGUUGCCCAGGCUAUGGAUUAAAGGUAAUACUGUUGGCCCACCGCUGCUGUCAGGCAACAUCUCCAAGAUGCUAGAAACUGCAGGACCAGAUGGCCAUCCCAAGGUUUCUAGAGAUUACAGCAGCUCCUGACUGAAUCCAAACUCACUUUUGAAGACUUCAGAUGACACCAACGCUCACAAAGACUACAGACGACAACUGUACAUGAACACACAAAACAAAUAUUAUCCUUAUUUUGCCUAUAAGGGUAAAUUUGAUGAUUUUCAAACUGCUUUAU